GAGUUUGAUCUUGGCUCAGAUUGAACGCUGGCGGCAUGCCUUACACAUGCAAGUCGAACGGCAGCACGGGAGCUUGCUCCUGGUGGCGAGUGGCGAACGGGUGAGUAAUGCAUCGGAACGUAUCCUGAAGUGGGGGAUAACGUAGCGAAAGUUACGCUAAUACCGCAUAUUCUGUGAGCAGGAAAGCGGGGGACCUUCGGGCCUCGCGCUCUUGGAGCGGCCGAUGUCGGAUUAGCUAGUUGGUGAGGUAAAGGCUCACCAAGGCGACGAUCCGUAGCAGGUCUGAGAGGAUGAUCUGCCACACUGGAACUGAGACACGGUCCAGACUCCUACGGGAGGCAGCAGUGGGAAUUUUGGACAAUGGGGGCAACCCUGAUCCAGCCAUGCCGCGUGAGUGAAGAAGGCCUCGG
rnacentral:rRNA from 1 species